GCCGUCGUAGCUCACCGGAUUAGAGCAAGCCCGUCCUAAGGGUUAGGCAGGAGGUUCGAUUCCUCUCGACGGCG
rnacentral:tRNA from 1 species